UUAAGUUAUUAAGGGCGCACGGUGGAUGCCUUGGCACUAGAAGCCGAUGAAGGACGUUACUAACGACGAUAUGCUUUGGGGAGCUGUAAGUAAGCUUUGAUCCAGAGAUUUCCGAAUGGGGAAACCCAGCAUGAGUUAUGUCAUGUUAUCGAUAUGUGAAUACAUAGCAUAUCAGAAGGCACACCCGGAGAACUGAAACAUCUUAGUACCCGGAGGAAGAGAAAGAAAAUUCGAUUCCCUUAGUAGCGGCGAGCGAAACGGGAAGAGCCCAAACCAACAAGCUUGCUUGUUGGGGUUGUAGGACACUCUAUACGGAGUUACAAAGGACGACAUUAGACGAAUCAUCUGGAAAGAUGAAUCAAAGAAGGUAAUAAUCCUGUAGUCGAAAAUGUUGUCUCUCUUGAGUGGAUCCUGAGUACGACGGAGCACGUGAAAUUCCGUCGGAAUCUGGGAGGACCAUCUCCCAAGGCUAAAUACUCUCUAGUGACCGAUAGUGAACCAGUACCGUGAGGGAAAGGUGAAAAGCACCCCGGAAGGGGAGUGAAAUAGAACCUGAAACCGUGUGCUUACAAGUAGUCAGAGCCCGUUAAUGGGUGAUGGCGUGCCUUUUGUAGAAUGAACCGGCGAGUUACGAUUUGAUGCAAGGUUAAGCAGUAAAUGUGGAGCCGUAGCGAAAGCGAGUCUGAAUAGGGCGUUUAGUAUUUGGUCGUAGACCCGAAACCAGGUGAUCUACCCUUGGUCAGGUUGAAGUUCAGGUAACACUGAAUGGAGGACCGAACCGACUUACGUUGAAAAGUGAGCGGAUGAACUGAGGGUAGCGGAGAAAUUCCAAUCGAACCUGGAGAUAGCUGGUUCUCUCCGAAAUAGCUUUAGGGCUAGCCUCAAGUGAUGAUUAUUGGAGGUAGAGCACUGUUUGGACGAGGGGCCCCUCUCGGGUUACCGAAUUCAGACAAACUCCGAAUGCCAAUUAAUUUAACUUGGGAGUCAGAACAUGGGUGAUAAGGUCCGUGUUCGAAAGGGAAACAGCCCAGACCACCAGCUAAGGUCCCAAAAUAUAUGUUAAGUGGAAAAGGAUGUGGCGUUGCCCAGACAACUAGGAUGUUGGCUUAGAAGCAGCCAUCAUUUAAAGAGUGCGUAAUAGCUCACUAGUCGAGUGACACUGCGCCGAAAAUGUACCGGGGCUAAACAUAUUACCGAAGCUGUGGAUUGUCCUUUGGACAAUGGUAGGAGAGCGUUCUAAGGGCGUUGAAGCAUGAUCGUAAGGACAUGUGGAGCGCUUAGAAGUGAGAAUGCCGGUGUGAGUAGCGAAAGACGGGUGAGAAUCCCGUCCACCGAUUGACUAAGGUUUCCAGAGGAAGGCUCGUCCGCUCUGGGUUAGUCGGGUCCUAAGCUGAGGCCGACAGGCGUAGGCGAUGGAUAACAGGUUGAUAUUCCUGUACCACCUAUAAUCGUUUUAAUCGAUGGGGGGACGCAGUAGGAUAGGCGAAGCGUGCGAUUGGAUUGCACGUCUAAGCAGUAAGGCUGAGUAUUAGGCAAAUCCGGUACUCGUUAAGGCUGAGCUGUGAUGGGGAGAAGACAUUGUGUCUUCGAGUCGUUGAUUUCACACUGCCGAGAAAAGCCUCUAGAUAGAAAAUAGGUGCCCGUACCGCAAACCGACACAGGUAGUCAAGAUGAGAAUUCUAAGGUGAGCGAGCGAACUCUCGUUAAGGAACUCGGCAAAAUGACCCCGUAACUUCGGGAGAAGGGGUGCUCUUUAGGGUUAACGCCCAGAAGAGCCGCAGUGAAUAGGCCCAAGCGACUGUUUAUCAAAAACACAGGUCUCUGCUAAACCGUAAGGUGAUGUAUAGGGGCUGACGCCUGCCCGGUGCUGGAAGGUUAAGAGGAGUGGUUAGCUUCUGCGAAGCUACGAAUCGAAGCCCCAGUAAACGGCGGCCGUAACUAUAACGGUCCUAAGGUAGCGAAAUUCCUUGUCGGGUAAGUUCCGACCCGCACGAAAGGCGUAACGAUUUGGGCACUGUCUCAACGAGAGACUCGGUGAAAUCAUAGUACCUGUGAAGAUGCAGGUUACCCGCGACAGGACGGAAAGACCCCGUGGAGCUUUACUGUAGCCUGAUAUUGAAAUUCGGCACAGCUUGUACAGGAUAGGUAGGAGCCUUUGAAACGUGAGCGCUAGCUUACGUGGAGGCGCUGGUGGGAUACUACCCUAGCUGUGUUGGCUUUCUAACCCGCACCACUUAUCGUGGUGGGAGACAGUGUCAGGCGGGCAGUUUGACUGGGGCGGUCGCCUCCUAAAAGGUAACGGAGGCGCUCAAAGGUUCCCUCAGAAUGGUUGGAAAUCAUUCAUAGAGUGUAAAGGCAUAAGGGAGCUUGACUGCGAGACCUACAAGUCGAGCAGGGUCGAAAGACGGACUUAGUGAUCCGGUGGUUCCGCAUGGAAGGGCCAUCGCUCAACGGAUAAAAGCUACCCCGGGGAUAACAGGCUUAUCUCCCCCAAGAGUUCACAUCGACGGGGAGGUUUGGCACCUCGAUGUCGGCUCAUCGCAUCCUGGGGCUGUAGUCGGUCCCAAGGGUUGGGCUGUUCGCCCAUUAAAGCGGUACGCGAGCUGGGUUCAGAACGUCGUGAGACAGUUCGGUCCCUAUCCGUCGUGGGCGUAGGAAAUUUGAGAGGAGCUGUCCUUAGUACGAGAGGACCGGGAUGGACAUACCUCUGGUGUACCAGUUGUCGUGCCAACGGCAUAGCUGGGUAGCUAUGUGUGGACGGGAUAAGUGCUGAAAGCAUCUAAGCAUGAAGCCCCCCUCAAGAUGAGAUUUCCCAACUUCGGUUAUAAGAUCCCUCAAAGAUGAUGAGGUUAAUAGGUUCGAGGUGGAAGCAUGGUGACAUGUGGAGCUGACGAAUACUAAUCGAUCGAAGACUUAAUCAA
rnacentral:rRNA from 1 species